rnacentral:rRNA from 1 species
UGAACGCUGGCGGCAGGCCUAACACAUGCAAGUCGAACGGUAGCACAGAGGAGCUUGCUCCUUGGGUGACGAGUGGCGGACGGGUGAGGAAUACAUCGGAAUCUACCCUGUCGUGGGGGAUAACGUAGGGAAACUUACGCUAAUACCGCAUACGAACUGAGGUUGAAAGCAGGGGACCGCAAGGCCUUGCGCGAUUGGAUGAGCCGAUGUCCGAUUAGCUAGUUGGUAAGGUAAAGGCUUACCAAGGCGACGAUCGGUAGCUGGUCUGAGAGGAUGAUCAGCCACACUGGAACUGAGACACGGUCCAGACUCCUACGGGAGGCAGCAGUGGGGAAUAUUGGACAAUGGGCGCAAGCCUGAUCCAGCCAUGCCGCGUGUGUGAAGAAGGCCUCGGUUGUAAGCACUUUGUUGGUAAGAAAGACGGUACGGCGUAAUACCCGGUCGUUCUUGACGGUACCCGAACGAAUAAGACACCGGCGUAACUUACGUGUCCAGCACGC